GAUGAACGCUGGCGGCGUGCCUAAUACAUGCAAGUCGAGCGAACGGACGAGAAGCUUGCUUCUCUGAUGUUAGCGGCGGACGGGUGAGUAACACGUGGAUAACCUACCUAUAAGACUGGGAUAACUUCGGGAAACCGGGGCUAAUACCGGAUAAUAUUUUGAACCGCAUGGUUCAAAAGUGAAAGACGGUCUUGCUGUCACUUAUAGAUGGAUCCGCGCUGCAUUAGCUAGUUGGUAAGGUAACGGCUUACCAAGGCAACGAUGCAUAGCCGACCUGAGAGGGUGAUUGGCCACACUGGAACUGAGAAACGGUCCAGACUCCUACGGGAGGCAGCAGUAGGGAAUCUUCCGCAAUGGGCGAAAGCCUGACGGAGCAACGCCGCGUGAGUGAUGAAGGUCUUCGGAUCGUAAAACUCUGUUAUUAGGGAAGAACAUAUGUGUAAGUAACUGUGCACAUCUUGACGGUACCUAAUCAGAAAGCCACGGCUAACUACGUG
rnacentral:rRNA from 1 species